CCUACGGGUGGCAGCAGUGAGGAAUAUUGGUCAAUGGGCGGGAGCCUGAACCAGCCAAGCCGCGUGAGGGAAGAAGGUACAGCGUAUCGUAAACCUCUUUUGUCAGGGAACAAAGGCGGGGACUAGUCCCCGGAUGAGGGUACAUGAAGAAAAAGCAUCGGCUAACUCCGCGCCAGCAGCCGCGGUAAUACGGAGGAUGCGAGCGUUAUCCGGAUUUAUGGGGUUAAAAGGGUGCGCAGGCGGCGUGUAAAGUACGCGGUAAAAGCCCGGGGCUAAACCGGGGCGUGCCGUGGAAACUGGCGGGUUGGAGUUGGAGAGAAGUACGCGGAAUGCGCGGUGUAGCGGUGAAAUGCUUAGAUAUCGCGCAGAACCCCGAUUGCGAAGGCAGCGUACCGGCUCCACACUGACGCUGAGGCACGAAAGCGUGGGUAUCGAACAGGAUUAGAUACCCUGGUAGUC
rnacentral:rRNA from 1 species